AGUUUGAUCCUGGCUCAGAUUGAACGCUGGCGGCAUGCCUUACACAUGCAAGUCGAACGGCAGCACGGGAGCAAUCCUGGUGGCGAGUGGCGAACGGGUGAGUAAUACAUCGGAACGUGCCCAAUCGUGGGGGAUAACGCAGCGAAAGCUGUGCUAAUACCGCAUAAGAUCUACGGAUGAAAGCAGGGGAUCGCAAGACCUUGCGCGAAUGGAGCGGCUGAUGGCAGAUUAGGUAGUUGGUGAGGUAAAGGCUCACCAAGCCUUCGAUCUGUAGCUGGUCUGAGAGGACGACCAGCCACACUGGGACUGAGACACGGCCCAGACUCCUACGGGAGGCAGCAGUGGGGAAUUUUGGACCGCCC
rnacentral:rRNA from 1 species